rnacentral:rRNA from 1 species
AUACGGGGGGAGCAUGCGUUGUCCGGAAUUACUGGGCGUAAAGGGCGUGUAGGCGGCUUGAUAAGUCAGAUGUGAAAGCCUUCCGCUUAACGGAAGAACUGCAUUUGAAACUGUCGGGCUUGAGUGCGAGAGAGGGUAGUGGAAUUCCCAGUGUAGCGGUGAAAUGCGUAGAUAUUGGGAAGAACACCAGUAGCGAAGGCGGCUACCUGGCUCGUAACUGACGCUAAGGCGCGAAAGCGUGGGGAGCAAACAGGAUUAGAAACCCCAGUAGUCC